rnacentral:rRNA from 1 species
CCCUUAGAUGCUCUGGGCCGCACGCGCGCUACACUGGUCGAUGCAACGAGUUUCUUUCCUUGGCCGACAGGCCUGGGCAAUCUUUGAACAUCGAUCGUGAUCGGGAUAGAUUCUUGUAAUUUUUGAUCUUAAACGAGGAAUUCCUAGUAAACGCAAGUCAUCAGCUUGCAUUGAUUACGUCCCUGCCCUUUGUACACACCGCCCGUCGCACCUACCGAUUGAAUGGUCCGGUGAAAUCUCCGGACUGGCGUGAGUCGGAGCAAUCUGACAAACGCCGGAAAGUUGAUUAAACCUUACCAUUUAGAGGAAGGUGAAGUCGUAAUA